rnacentral:rRNA from 1 species
UACAGAGGUCUCGAGCGUUAGGCGGAAUCACUGGGCUUAAAGCGUGUGUAGGCGGAUCGUUAAGUGCCUUGUGAAAUCCCACGGCUCAACCGUGGAACUGCUUGGCAUACUGGCGGUCUUGAGCAACCUAGGGGCGAGCGGAACAAAUGGUGGAGCGGUGAAAUGCGUAGAUAUCGCUUGGAACGCCGAAGGUGAAAACAGGUUGCUGGGGAUGUGCCGACGCUGAGACACG